rnacentral:rRNA from 1 species
UAACCUGCCUUGGAGUGGGGAAUAACAGCUGGAAACAGCUGCUAAUACCGCAUAAUAUAUCUGGGUCGCAUGGCUCUGGAUAUCAAAGAUUUAUCGCUCUGAGAUGGACUCGCGUCUGAUUAGCUAGUUGGUGGGGCAACAGCCCACCAAGGCGACGAUCAGUAGCCGGACUGAGAGGUUGGCCGGCCACAUUGGGACUGAGACACGGCCCAGACUCCUACGGGAGGCAGCAG